GUUUCAACAUUGAACAUACUGAAUGGGAAUGAUGCAGAAAAGAUGAGUAUAGUCACAAAACAAGGACGAUGCUCAAGUAAGUGAAGCAUUCCAUAUUUUU
rnacentral:snRNA from 1 species